rnacentral:rRNA from 1 species
AUGUUCAUAUUGGAGCUGGGCAUCUGGCUGCUGCCCUUCACGCUGCUGCUGGCGCCGGCGCGGCGGCUCGUGCACCUCCUCCGGGAGCUGCAGCGGAUCCUCCUCGUCGUCGCCUGCGGCCGCCGCACGCCCGCGGCCUUCGGGGAGGUCUGGAGCCGCCUCGACCGCCUCGACUCCGCCACCGUCAUCGCCUGA